GAUGAACGCUGGCGGCGUGCCUAAUACAUGCAAGUCGAGCGAACAGAUGAGGAGCUUGCUCCUCUGACGUUAGCGGCGGACGGGUGAGUAACACGUGGAUAACCUACCUAUAAGACUGGGAUAACUUCGGGAAACCGGAGCUAAUACCGGAUAAUAUAUUGAACCGCAUGGUUCAAUAGUGAAAGACGGUUUUGCUGUCACUUAUAGAUGGAUCCGCGCCGCAUUAGCUAGUUGGUAAGGUAACGGCUUACCAAGGCGACGAUGCGUAGCCGACCUGAGAGGGUGAUCGGCCACACUGGAACUGAGACACGGUCCAGACUCCUACGGGAGGCAGCAGUAGGGAAUCUUCCGCAAUGGGCGAAAGCCUGACGGAGCAACGCCGCGUGAGUGAUGAAGGUCUUCGGAUCGUAAAACUCUGUUAUUAGGGAAGAACAAAUGUGUAAGUAACUAUGCACGUCUUGACGGUACCUAAUCAGAAAGCCACGGCGAACUACGU
rnacentral:rRNA from 1 species